GACGAACGCUGGCGGCGUGCUUAACACAUGCAAGUCGAACGGCAAGCCCCUGCUUUUGUGGGGUGCUCGAGUGGCGAACGGGUGAGUAACAUGUGAGUAACCUGCCUUUGACUUUGGGAUAACUUCAGGAAACUGGGGCUAAUACCGGAUAGGAGCUCCUGCUGCAUGGUGGGGGUUGGAAAGUUUCGGCGGUUGGGGAUAGACUCGUGGCUUAUCAGCUUGUUGGUGGGGUAGUGGCUUACCAAGGCUCUGACGGGUAGCUGGCCUGAGAGGGUGACCGGCCACAUUGGGACUGGGAUACGACCCAGACUCCUACGGGACGCAGCAGUGGGGAAGAUUACACUAUGGGCGGAAGCCUGAUGCAGCAACGCCGCGUGCGGGAUGACGGCCUUCGGGUUGUAAACCACUGUCGCCUGUGACGAGGCGUGAGUGACGGUAAUGGGUAAAGAAGCACCGGCUAACUACGUG
rnacentral:rRNA from 1 species